rnacentral:lncRNA from 1 species
CAACUCAUCCGGAUUUUGGCAUCAACAUUUGGCGCCAUCUGUGGGGACCGGUACGAGAAGCCAAAUUUUUGUCUCUAUCAAUUUUCAUCUAGUCGAAGCAAAUCAGAAUGUUACAGUGCAUAAAUGGAUGAGCUUGCUUAAACAAGGUAGCAAAAACCUUAAAUGAGAGCACAUUGAAGGCACACGUUUGUAGAAAUCAGAACAGGUCAGAAGUUAAAUUUUUAUUUACAAGUAAUUUUUUUAUGAAAAUUUAAUUAUUUCUCUAAAUCCUGCUAUGUGAUGUGAGGAUGCCUUAUAUUCAUUAAAUUGAUUGUGCUCAUAUUAGGGCUGACGGUAUAACUUAGUUAACUUGAUUUCUUGAAAGUUACUCAAUAUGAUAAUGAUUUAAGGAAAGAGAGUUAGGCUAGCGUUGAGAAGCCAAUCAAAGUUUACUAAUAAGGCAUGCAAAGGCUCACUAAGUCUCAAAGCCUGUUUAUGGCGAGACCAGAAGCCAAGCGUGCCAGGAUCUGCUCGACCAAGUGAAGGCGAACAGACUCCCAAGCGUUGUAAAAAUUCCUAAGGCAUGCAAAGGCUUACCAAAGUCUCAAAGCCUGUUUAUGGCGAGACCAGAAGCCAAGCGUGCCAGGAUCUGCUCGACCAAGUGAAGGCGAGCAGACUCCCAAGCGUUGUAAAAAUUCCUAAGGCAUGCAAAGACUCACUAAGUCUUAAAGCCUGUUUAUGGCGAGACCAGAAGCCAAGCGUGUCAGGAUCUGCUCGACCAAGCAAAAGUGAGCAGACCACUAAAGUUCCAAAAAGUUUCUAAGGCGUGCAAAGGCUCCAAAUUCUCAAAGCUUGUUUUAUGGCGAGACAGGAAGCCAAGCAUGCCAGGAUCUGCUCGACCAAGCGAAGGCAAGCAGACCACCAAAGUUUCAAAAAGUUUCUAAGGCGUGCAAAGGCUCCAAAGUCUCAAAGCCUGUUUUAUGGCGAGACAGAAAGCCAAGCAUGCCAGGAUCUGCUCAACCAAGCGAAGACGAGCAGACCACUAAAGUUUCCAGUCUUGAUUCGUUUCACUCUCAACACUAGAAACUGAGGGACUGGUGUUUAGGGAAUGAAAUAUGGUGACCAAGAUAAAGGUGUUUGCUCAUACAUUAUCGUGCUCUCCUCAAAAUAAAAGUGAGCAAAUGGUUGAGCAGAUCAUCUCGACCAGAAUAAUAUGUGGUGACCUCGAGCACAUCACCUCGACCAGAAUAUUAUUGGUCACCUCGACCAGAAUAAUAUGUGAUGACCUCGAGCAGAUCAUCUCGACCAGGGUGUUAUUGGUCACCUCAACUAGAGUAAUAUGUGGUCACCUCGACCAAGAGGUUAUUGGUCACCUCGAGCAGAUCGUCUCGACCAAGAUGUUAUUGGUCACCUCGACCAGAAUAAUAUGUGGUGACUUCAAGCACAUUUCCUCGACCAGGAAGUUACCAGGAAGCACGAUUCAGUCAAAACAGUUUCUCCGAAAUAUUAGGGACCAUAUUCUUAGUGGGCUGAAAAUUAAUAGUUUUCUUAAUAAUUCUAGGAGAGUGGAUAAACACCGCUAUAGUUUACUAUAAAAACCCUAGGAAGGGGAAGGAAAAUGGGGGAUUCUUCUAGCUCUUUCUCUCUCUCUGGGCAACUAAACCCAUUGGACCUUUUUCUCUCUCUACCACUGAGAAAUUUCUCUUUCGCCUGUGAUUUCUUUAAGAUUGAUCAUUUUGAAUUCUUUUCCUUUAAAUUUACUUAAAAACUUUUUGUUUAAAACAAUCAUAAUUAAGCCACAUGAAUUGUGGUAUGAGUUUUUUCAAGUAAGACCCGAAUCGUUGACUUGAGCGUCGGAAGGUUCUCGCCGAAAAAACUUUCGGCACCUCCUGACUAUUGGUUGUGUUCACAGGCUCACAGGUUAUCUGCUCAUGGAUCGUCU